AAAACUACCAAACACCGGGCCGUUCGUGCACUUCCACCGAACAAGAAGGGAGGUCGGCGGCUUCAGCGGUGUUCGCGCAAAACGGUGUCCGAUUUUAGUUCCAUGAAAAUAGGGGCGAACACCGCUGUGCAUUCGUAUGUUUAAAAUGGCCGCGACCUCGUGUUCGGGAUACGAAUGGCGGCCACCCAGCAUUCGUCAAUUAAGCUGUGGUUAACCGCAGCUUCAGGGAGGUUAAUUGCCGGCACACUCCAGCUCCCAGGUGGUCUAUUCAUUCGUGCGGUUGUUCGGUAGAUUGAAUCUACCGAACAACCGGCAGAAAAGCACGAAUACAGCUUUUCUGCAGGCGAAAUAAAGUCUUUUAAAAGGGGGCCAUAGUCCAGAGGCAGCAGGCGAGCAACCAGGCUUCUCCAAUGCAAUGUGGCGAG